GGGCAUGUAAACAGUCAACGAGCCCAACUGGGACUGUCUUUUCAAGAAGCCACAACUGGGCUGGAGAGAUGGCUCAGCGGUUAAGAGCACCGACUGCUCUUCCAGAAGUCCUGAGUUCAAUUCCCAGCAACCACAUGGUGGCUCACAACCAUCUGUAGUGGGAUCCGAUGCCCUCUUCUGGUGUAUAUGAAGACAGCUACAGUGUACUCACAUAAAAUAAAUAAAUAAAUCUUAAAGAAGCCACAACUGAGUGCCCCCAGCAGCUGUUUAGCCUGUUCGGCCCCUGCUGUGCACAGGUCUGGGCCAGAAGCAGAACUCAGGAUGUGAAUGAUGCUUGGUAUCUAUUCGCUAAUAGCAGGUAACAUCCCCAUCCCGUUGGCAGCUCUGAGCCUCCAUGAGCAUACCACAAGGGGUGAGUGCCCCCUCUCUCUAUCAGAGCACUUUAGAAAGAGGUUCGAGUAACCACUGUACCCCACUUGCCUGCCGCUGGGCUACUUCUGAGGAUUCUGCACCGAGGUGCCUAAGGAGCCAGCAAGCUCCUCCCUCCACCUCAGCCACACCCAGCACGCUCCAGGUGCAAGGCAUUCAGCUUCGGCUUUGUCAGGAGUCAAACACAAACUAACUAAGUGCUAAGGCUCUGACGACUGCAGUCCCAAAGCCCUCACUGGUGUGUACCGGCCACCACCUCACCUGCCUGUCCCGGCAAGCUAGUUUUGGUCUGCUCUGCUAAAGGUCAACUGGGGAAAGGGCAGGGAUUUUAAACAGUACACGGGGCGGGAAAGGUAACCCUUUAGCCUACACAUUCCACACAGAAUCCUGAACAAUAUCAACCCCUCUUCUCUGCUCCCUGUAAGUGACUGGCAGACCGGAAGUCUCCAGCAAAGCAGGCACAAAGUUGGUGACAUGGACCACUGUUGACUCUGUACCUUGUUCCCCUGAGCAUGUGUACACAGACAUCAGGAAUGUGGAGAAGGGGGUCUAACCACCCGGCAAGGCUCCAGUCAUCUGCCUUCACACUUAGGCUUCCAGGAACACAAAAGCAGCCAAGGAGGCGGGGAAAUGAGUUGAGCUGCUCCCACCCCCACGAAGGCAAGCUCUCUCAGGGCGGCACAUCAGCAGUGUUACAAAAUCCUCUGGUGAACAAGAAUCCGGAUUCAUCAUAUCCUUGAUGGGGAAAGUGGCUCCACCCAUCAAAUUGAAACUGCUACUUCAUGCCCUGGGGGGAAAUAGGAACCCUGUGCUGUGGCCACACAUCUAUGGCUAUUCCAGAAACAUUGAGAGGUGUGGAGAAAGCUGACCAUUCUGCUUUCUCCCCUCAUAAACCAGGAGCAGCAGGCAAGCCUGUUAAACCUAGCAAAGAGGAGGAGCUCAGUCCGAGGCUGGGAAAGGAGUCCAGGGUCUGACUAGUCGUGACUCUAGGAGAUUAGGUUCAUGGGGGGGGGGGGGCGGCGAAAAAAACGGAGGCUUUGCCUGGAACCCAGAGAAAAGACCAGAGUCAGAGGAAAGACAGGGAAAGAGGGAAGCAGUCCAUUUCCCACGGUGGCUGUUCACUAACUCAGCUUUAACCAGAAUGUAUUACAUAUCCAACACAUUGAUAUGCCCGAGACAAGGAGUCCGGGAUUAGGAGCAAAACUUUUUGAGUACAUCACUUUUUAAACAACAUGAAAAGUCAGAACUUGGGAGUUUCAGAUAUUGGAAACCUCUCUCCCUGAAACUAUACCAUACUGUUUCCGGGUUUGUUUGUUUCACUUAAAGUAUCCUAUUUCUUUGUCAUGGAAAAGGAAGAAGACAGAAACAAACUAAUCUGGAAAGUCCAAAACGAAGCUGUACACGCACUAAAAAUAAUUCACUACCUAUCUUAAAAAUGUCAGUACAGGAAGCUAUUCCACCCACGUGACUUGCGCACCAGCCAAGACCCAGCACUUGGUAAAUAAACCGUGAGUCGUGAGUCGGAGAGACCAGGCGAUUCCAACUUCCCAGUCGCCUUACAUCCAGCAGAGUGAUCCAACGAUCUCUACCUCAGUUUCCUCGUUCAUAAAGGGAGUAACCUGGAUCUUCACGAAGACGCACAGAGUGCUGCUCAACUGGAGAUUUUUCUCCGUCAGCAAAGCAAGGCAAGUGGGAACAGAGGGGCAAUGAGUGUGACAGCCCAAGGUGAAGACCCUGCGUCUGCCCAUAGACGACUCCUCCACCCCGCGGAGCCCCGAAGACAGCCUGCCCGGGGACGCAGCCCUCACCUGCGGUGUCCCAUAUAGAGAUGUUGAAGGAGCGCCACUGCUUCAGGUAGAAGGCGCCGCCCACGGUGCUGACCGUGUCCGGGAAGCGACGCUCCAUGUAGCGCUGCAGCAAGGACGUUUUACCCACGUUCAUGUCCCCCAGCAGCACGAUCUUCCCAUCCGGCUUCCGCAUAGCCGCGGAGGAGGUGGCCCCUGCGCUUCUCGGUCACCAGUCCAGGAUGCCAGGGAACGCGGACCCCGGCCUCUAGGAAUCCAGAACUCUAGUGGCACUGGCCUGAGGUCCGAACGCGCUGAAGUUCCGGAGAGGAAGCGCUCCACCGCUCUGUACUCGACAGUGAACUCAGCCCUGCGACCACGUGAGGUGCCCAGCCACCACGCCCACCCCACGCCCCCUGGGCGGCCCAGGUCCCGCCCCAGUCUUCUCCCAAGCCUCUUCCACACUCCCCAUCACCUCUGCCACGUCCCUAUUCCUAUCUCUCCUCUCCCAAAUUCCCCCUUUCCGCCUGCUAACUCUCAGCCCCACGCCCACUCCCCAUUCUUCCACAUUCCUCCUCCCUCAAGCACCCUCCUGCGUCCCUGUAAUCCCAAACUCCGUUCCUCCUUUAUUUUUGUGCCUUUCUCAGAGUUCUGGCCCCUGCCUCCCGCCCUCAACUCCUUCCCAUCCCUUCUCCCUCAAGCCCUUCUCCAGCCCAGCCAGUCCUUUUCUGGAACCCCUCUCCACUGGCCCAACCCACGCCAGCCCCCCUCUUCCUGAACCCCCAACUCUAGCAGGAUCACAGUACCGCUUUCACCCUUAGAAAGCCUGUGUGUUUCCAUGCUUGGACGUUCGAGUUCCUCCAACAGCCUGGGUUGGCACAGAGCGGCCCAGGACCUGGUGUUUGCCUGGUCACAGUCACCCUCGACUGUUUCACUUCUCUUCCCCUGCCCAGCUCUCCUCGGUGCACCUUGGUUCCUCGCACACAGAUGGAGAGUUUGCCUGGCUAGGAAUGUCCCUUAGAAAUCGGCUAAGAUUUAAGGGAGGACGUGGAGGAGGCGGGCGCUGGGAGAUACCUGCUAGAGAACCCUUGAAAUGCGUUCAAAAUCUUCCUCCAGCGGCUGAAGUACACGGAGGGAGGCGGAGGAGUUACCUGGCGCUGGGUAAAGCCCAGCCGGUCCUGCUUCCUUAAAGGGAAGAUGACUCUCCUAGGAGCUUCUCCCUGCACAGGUGCGAGAUUCCACUGAGGCGAAGCAAAGCCUCAAGCACCCUGCCUGAGAGCUGAGGACCAAUGCUCUUGGGAAUGGGGUGGAAGAGUACGUUCUGGGGCGUGGAAGGCUCACCAGACCGUGAAAACAGCUCCCUGUGAGUCUCAGGCUUCUGCUAGCCGCCCCACCUCUCCGCACCCCCUCCCAGGGAAAUUUAAGUUACUUCCAAUUUAUUAUGGGCUAGUUGCAUGAAAGUUACAGGGGAAGUAACUAGACGACCUGUCCCCAGAGGCUGAGAAAGAGAAAUGUAUGGGUUCUGUGUAAAUAUCUAAACUAAGGUCAGGGAGUAGCAAGAGUCUCUACCCCCCACCUCCCUGUCCUACCCCUUCAACAUGUGGGCAGCGUGAGGAUCUUCUGGUGUCCAGGGUUCUUCUUUCUCAGACUUUCAUGAUAUAUUAACUGGGAGAGGCUACUUCCCAAUGGUGAUAAAGUUAAACAAAACCAAAUACUUAAAAAUAAAACAGCAUGAAAGCCAGA